rnacentral:rRNA from 1 species
GACGAACUGUCCAAACGUUGUUCGGAAUCACUGGGCUUAAAGGGCGCGUAGGCGGUCCGCCAAGUCAGGGGUGAAAUCCUGCAGCUUAACUGUAGAAGUGCCUUUGAUACUGGCGGUCUGGGGGGAGGUAGGGGUGUGCGGAACUUCCAGUGGAGCGGUGAAAUGCGUUGAUAUUGGAAGGAACGCCGGAGGCGAAAGCGGCGCACUGGACCUCUUCUGACGCUGAGGCGCGAAAGCUAGGGGAGCAAACGGG